CUGACUGUGACAUGGCACAUCCAAAAUGGCUCCCACAUUGUCCACGCGGGUACAGGACACCUCUCCCGUGUCUGCACUGAAAUGGCCAUUCACAACGCAGAUGGCACCUACAGUAUCCGUAGCGGCAUCACUCUGCACUCCUCAGCAGUGAAAGAUGGAGCAAUACUUAUCAUCUGCCAGGUGGAGCACCAGACCUUCAACCGGAUGUACAACAGAUCUGUUACACUCACAGUUCAAGCUCCCUCACAGCCACAUUACAGUGCUGCCACACUGAUUGCUGUCACCAGUGUCAUCAUUUUGCUGCUGGUCAUCUCUGUUAUUGGAGGCACUUUUCUUCUCUACAGGUAUUUCUGCAAAGCUCCUCCAAGUGUUUCUGAAAUCAGCCAGCCCAGCAUCAUAUAUGCUCAGGUGCCUUUCAACCUCAAAUGCACCAUCCAAGGAGCGUUACAGCGGGAGCUCGAAGUGAAAUGGUUUCAAUUAAGAGGCAACACAGACUCACCGGCCCUGUUAGACUCUGUUCCUCUGAUGCUGAAAGAGGAUUUGAGUGAACAGGCUAGUCUCCAGUCUGAUGGCAGACACCACACGUCUGUCCUGACUGUGUGUCUCACUGUUGCUGAUGAUCCCACUGAUUACCUGUGUGUGGUGCAGUGCAGGGGCAAGAGCUUCCGCAGAGAGACUGCAGUCCGAGUGAAAGUAGAGCCAUCUUUCCUCCAGAUCUCCAGUAUCCCUCAGAUCCCCAAGGUGGAGAGGCUGCUGGUUCUGUGCUGUCGGGUGGAGAACUUCUACCCGCAGCACAUAGAGCUUGAGUGGUCCAGGAAUGACGGAGAGAAGGUCUGCACUGUCACACACUUUGGACCUUUCUCUGACCACAACCGCCUGUACAGCAUGUGGAGUAAGAUCGAGCUGGUCAUGGCGAGAGAGGAUGAGAGAGCCGUCUACACCUGCCGCGUUUACCACUCCAGCUUCUCUGCUCCGGGCUACAAAGAUGUCCUGUACCACAUCAAUACUCAAGGAACUCCUCCUAAUGUGAUGUUCAUUGACUGUGAGCCUCUGUGCCCUCUGUUGAAUGAAGCAUGCACGCUGCACCUGUGCAUCAAAGACUUCUGUCCAGAGGACGUGUCAGUGACCUGGACUAAAGAUGGAGAGACAAUUUGCUCCGGCGUCUUCAACACUCCACCGAGCCUGAACAUCAACGGCCUCUACUCCAUGUUCAGUUUUCUCAAACUCACUCCCGACAAUGACAACCAGGGCUCCAAGUUCAUGUGCACAGUGGUCCACAGCGCCCAGAAAGAGCCUGAGGAGAGGCUCUACACACUGCCCCACCUGUACCUGACAGACACCAGCUGACAUCCUCAUUAAAACUGUUGUAUUCUAGUCUACAGGAGUCUGGUUUGCGAAAGCUGGGAGACAGAACCUGGGUUUGGGACUGAUGACGGUUCAGUCAUUAGUGUCCACCUCUGAUAUGAUGGACAUGCUCCAUGGCUCUUUCCACAGUACAGAGUACCAAGUACUGAACACUGAUGCAGUCAGACAGGCUACAUAGUAAAUAAACACUGAAGACAUUCAAAGUAUGAAAUUUCAACUACUGUAGUAAUUCAUAUAAUGAAAAACUCAACCAGUCAGGAGAAUCAACAGUCUUCAAGUGCAGUUGACACUCUUCAGCAUUCUUUAGCGACUUGCCAUUUGAUCUACAGGACAGUUUAACAGGACAGUGAACCAAACACACCUGCAGGCUCUGUAAGGACUAUUUGACCAAGAAUGGAAGUGAGUACUGUUGAGAUUUAAGUUGAGAUGGUUUGGGAUGAGUUGGACCACAGAGUGAAGGAAAAGCAUUCAGAUAAAGUGUCAAUCUUAUAGCCUGCAGGAUGAACAUGUUCCUGGUGGUGAGGCUCUGUCUCUGGAUGGCAGCAGGCAGAGCAGUUUGUGGUGGGCUGAUCAGACCAAGAAGCAGCAAACUUGAUGAUGGUUUUGGAGGACAACACACUCCACUAGGAAGCUCCAGCAUUUAAUGAGAAAACAGUGUAUCGAUAGUCUGUGCAGCAUUUUAGAAAAUAAAAGUAUAUAUAGUAUAAAAGUACAAGUAGUAAACAAACUGCUUUAAUUGUCUGAUGAUAGUUCAAUAAUGCACUGUUUGUUUCUCUGUGAGGAAACACAUGAUGUCCAGUAACAUUCACAUCUUCUGACCUGUAUGAGAGCCCCGUGCUCUCCCUCAGGUCUGCUUGAUUCUUUGAGUUUUAACAAGAUAAAGUAGCCAGUAUCAAUAUCCACACAUACAUACAUUCAAUACAUUAUAUGUUGCACAAUAAUGAAGAGCUUGCUUAGUGCUGAGUAGGAAAAUACAGAUGAUGUGGAUCUUCAUACUAAAUGUGCAGAGGCUACAAACCCAACAGUAAGUUAACACAGUGAGGCAUUUGGCAGCUAGAGACAGGUUUUUCUCAGCCAGUGGAGACACAAAGAGCAAAAGAGGAGUGGAUACUGGACUUGAAUAAAUGAGGUGGACAUCAGCUUCAUUAAGGUGAUUUAAUGUCAGUGCUGUGUUUUCAGCUUGUUCUGAUUCUGCCUUGUCACUGCUGUUUAAAAAACUUGAACUUUAACAACACACUUGUUUUACACUUGUUGGUUGCUUAUCAUUUCAUUGAAAUACAAACAACCCCAAGUCAUAUAAUUUAAAUAGUUCAACCAAUAAACUGAAGAUGGCUGUUGCUGAAAUUUAUUGGAAAACACCCACCAAUACAAAAUAAAGAUCUUCAGUCAAUCAAUUGGUCCUUAAAGGUUUUGUCAUUUUAUUCUUGCGAGGAAGAGGAACAGUUCUACAAAUGCACAGUUUGCAGAAUAUGUUCAGUAUGGGGCAGUCCCACGCUGAUUCUGAUACACUUCUAGGAGUAUUUCUCAUUAUUAUGAUUUACUAUCUGUCACCGGUGGCCACAGUGGAAUGUAUCCAUCACUAUUAAACCUCACUAACAAGCUCUGCCUGACCGUGUGAACCAAGGUCAAGUUUACACAUCAAACACCUACUUCUUCAAACAACUUGCAUAAAUGAGAGAAAUAUUUCUAAGUGAAAGGUACUGGGUAAAACCAAACAAGACUAUAAGGCACACAGUGUUCUACUUAAAAAGCUUUUCAGAAUAUUACUGAGAUCAAAUAUGGCUAUAUAUGGUUAUAAAAAAGGAACACACAAUCAUGUAAUAUACAUUUUUUCAUUACAUGGCACACUCUAGCCUCCACAAAGUCAGAAUGGAUACAUGAGACAGGGACAGUUGAUGAAAUCAUGACAAAAGCUCAGCUGUGAAUCUGUCUUUAUUCUUUCAGAGUUUCAGUGUAUAGUCAUCUGCUCUGAUCUCUGAUCAGGUCUACAGCCAACUCACAAAAAAGUGUCAAAACAAAAAUCAUGUGAUCAUUUUCAGAAUACAGACAUCUCCCAUCAGCGGUAGACAAUGAACGUUUAUGUUUAGUAAAUAAUGUUUUAAUGUAUUGUUCAGAUGAUAGAAUGAAAGUAUGUGUCA